AACGAACGCUAUCGGUAUGCUUUACACAUGCAAGUCGGACGGACUAAUUAGGGCUUGCUCCAAUUAGUUAGUGGCAGACGGGUGAGUAACACGUGGGAAUCUGCCCAUCAGUACGGAAUAACUUUUAGAAAUAAAAGCUAAUACCGUAUAUUCUCUACAGAGGAAAGAUUUAUCGCUGAUGGAUGAGCCCGCGUCAGAUUAGGUAGUUGGUGAGGUAACGGCUCACCAAGCCGACGAUCUGUAGCUGGUCUGAGAGGAUGAUCAGCCACACUGGGACUGAGACACGGCCCAGACUCCUACGGGAGGCAGCAGUGGGGAAUAUUGGACAAUGGGCGAAAGCCUGAUCCAGCAAUACCGAGUGAGUGAUAAAGGCCCUAGGGUUGUAAAGCUCUUUUAGCAAGGAAGAUAAUGACGUUACUUGCAGAAAAAGCCCCGGCUAACUCCGUG
rnacentral:rRNA from 1 species